UGGGCUGUCGCCAAGCGGUAAGGCACAGGGUUUUGAUCCCUGCAUUCCGCCGGUUCGAAUCCGGCCGGCCCAG
rnacentral:tRNA from 1 species